rnacentral:rRNA from 1 species
AUGAACGCUGGCGGCGUGCCUCAUCCAUGCAAGUCGAGCGAACGGACGAGGAGCUUGCUCCUCUGACGUUAGCGGCGGACGGGUGAGUAACACGUGGAUAACCUACCUAUAAGACUGGGAUAACUUCGGGAAACCGGAGCUAAUACCGGAUAAUAUAUUGAACCGCAUGGUUCAAUAGUGAAAGACGGUUUUGCUGUCACUUAUAGAUGGAUCCGCGCCGCAUUAGCUAGUUGGUAAGGUAACGGCUUACCAAGGCGACGAUGCGUAGCCGACCUGAGAGGGUGAUCGGCCACACUGGAACUGAGACACGGUCCAGACUCCUACGGGAGGCAGCAGUAGGGAAUCUUCCGCAAUGGGCGAAAGCCUGACGGAGCAACGCCGCGUGAGUGAUGAAGGUCUUCGGAUCGUAAAACUCUGUUAUUAGGGAAGAACAAAUGUGUAAGUAACUAUGCACGUCUUGACGGUACCUAAUCAGAAAGCCACGGCUAACUACGUG